rnacentral:misc_RNA from 1 species
GAUGAAGAACGUAGCGAAAUGCGAUACGUAAUGUGAAUUGCAGAAUUCAGUGAAUCAUCGAAUCUUUGAACGCAUAUUGCGCUCUCUGGUAUUCCGGAGAGCAUGCUUGUUUGAGUAUCAGUAAACACCUCAACUCCCUUUCUUCUUGAAAUGGAGCUGGACUUGAGUGAUCCCAACGGUUUAUUCAUAAAGUGGCGGGUUACUUGAAAUGCAGGUGCAGCUGGACUUUUCUCUGAGCUAUAAGCAUAUCUAUUUAGUCUGCCUCAAAACAGAUUAUUACCUUUGCUGCAGCUAACAUAAAGGAGAUUAGUUCUUGUGCUGACUGAUGCAGGAUUCACAAAGACCGCUUCGGCUGUCUUUGUAAACUCGAUCUCAAAUCAAGUAAGACUACCCGCUGAACUUAAGCAUAUCAAUAAGCGGAGGA